UAACCUGCCCAAGAGAUCGGGAUAACACCUGGAAACAGAUGCUAAUACCGGAUAACAACAGAUGAUGCCUAUCAACUGUUUAAAAGAUGGUUCUGCUAUCACUCUUGGAUGGACCUGCGGUGCAUUAGCUAGUUGGUAGGGUAACGGCCUACCAAGGCGAUGAUGCAUAGCCGAGUUGAGAGACUGAUCGGCACAUUGGGACUGAGACACGGCCCAAACUCCUACGGGAGGCAGCAGCC
rnacentral:rRNA from 1 species